GAAUAUGGGUUUUUAUAAAGAAAUUUAUAGAAUUAAAAGGGAAGUUAGGUGAGAAUCCUACACAGUCCCGCUACUGUAAAUAUGGAGUAAAUUUUUAAUGACCACUGAUAGAGGAACUAUUGGGAAGGGAAAAAUUUAUGUAGAGAUAUAAGUCAGGAGACCUGCCUAUAAGAAA
rnacentral:ncRNA from 1 species